AUCACUACGGCAACCAUUCCAACACGGACAAUGGACCACACUGUCCCUUAGAGAGACAGACUUCAAUCACGCAGGAAGAGGUUUUCCAAAGUGUACAUUCAUUGCCAUUCCCCACUCCCUCACGUGCCAUGCACACAAAGUGCUGGUAUUUCUCACUGUGGGUAGUGACAACGACCCUUCUCUACCCUGCCUUAAGCCUCCCCCACCUUGCCUACCGCUGACAUCGUAAUUGCUGUCCUGGGCCUCUGCUAGUGGUUGAAGAGGUCCACCGCCCUCAGGAGUGCUGGCACUUGGACAGACAAGGGGAUUUUCUCUACCCUAAAAAGUGAUGAUGACCCGCCUGACCUUCAGAAGUCACAGAUUCGCAGGGGAGGCAUAUACUGAAAAUGUAAUUACAACGCAUUGUGCCCAGGGGUUCCACUCGAUACGUGCUAGGGAACCAUAGAAGACGUACUCCUCAUCCUGCCUCGAUGACAACAAAAGAGUUCCCAGAGAAGUUAUUACUUCAACACAGUCUCCAAUAAAGUGGAAAUUCUCCAGACAGACCGGGGGAUGGGAAAAGCGUCAUAGGAUCAUAAUUUACCAUUCUUUUUCUUUCUGUACAACGAUACACAAUGACAGUGGAAAGGGCAGAUGUCAUCAGAGAAUACCUUCGAGAUACAACUCUUUCAUGAACCUGGGAUUCGUUUUCUUGUGGAGUGGAAUGGGGAGUCCCAUCUCAGAAGAGAAUCGAAACAGUUAUCAUCCUGCCAGAUAUUACAAGAUCUCUGCCUGCAUUUUAUACACUACUCCCUAGAGAGACAUUAUGGAAAAACCAUGAAAACCACCUACUUGAAAUUUAACACUU